UACGUAGGGUCCGAGCGUUGUCCGGAAUUACUGGGCGUAAAGAGCUCGUAGGUGGUUUGUCGCGUUGUUCGUGAAAACUCACAACUCAAUUGUGGGCGUGCGGGCGAUACGGGCAGACUAGAGUACUGCAGGGGAGACUGGAAUUCCUGGUGUAGCGAUGGAAUGCGCAGAUAUCAGGAGGAACACCGGUGGCGAAGGCGGGUCUCUGGGCAGUAACUGACGCUGAGGAGCGAAAGCGUGGGGAGCGAACAGG
rnacentral:rRNA from 1 species